rnacentral:rRNA from 1 species
UUGACGGGGCCGCACAAGCGGUGGAUGAUGUGGAUUAAUUCGAUGCAACGCGAAAACCUUACCUACCCUUGACAUGUCCGGAAUCCCGAAGAGAUUUGGGAGUGCUCGCAAGAGAACCGGAACACAGGUGCUGCAUGGCUGUCGUCAGCUCGUGUCGUGAGAUGUUGGGUUAAGUCCCGCAACGAGCGCAACCCUUGUCAUUAGUUGCCAUCAUUUGGUUGGGCACUCUAAUGAGACUGCCGGUGACAAACCGGAGGAAGGUGGGGAUGACGUCAAGUCCUCAUGGCCCUUAUGGGUAGGGCUUCACACGUCAUACAAUGGUCGGUACAGAGGGUUGCCAACCCGCGAGGGGGAGCUAAUCCCACAAAGCCGAUCGUAGUCCGGAUCGCAGUCUGCAACUCGACUGCGUGAAGUCGGAAUCGCUAGUAAUCGUGGAUCAGCAUGUCACGGUGAAUACGUUCCCGGGUCUU